GGGGGUGGUGACACAAGCCUGUACUCCAAGCACUUAGGAGGCUGAGGCAGGAGAGUUCCAGCCCAGUGUGGACUACAUGGUGAGAUCUUGUCUCAAAACAAAAGCAAAAUGCUGGCUUUGCUUCCCACUAACCAAAGGGGAGACUACAGGACUAUUUCACUCUUCCUUCCAGGACUGUGGCACUUGGAUUAUGUCAAAACAGUCAGGCCCGUGCCCAGGACAGAGGAUACUAUCCAGGCUUCAGCAGUCAAAAGGAACAAGAAACACACAGACAUAGGCCAGUGUUGUGGUGUGUGCCUGUCAUCUCAGCACUCAGGAGGCUGAGGCAGGAGGAUUGCAAGUAUGAGGCUGGCCUGGGCUGCAUAGGAAGACCCUGUCAUCCCCUCUUACCCCCCUCCCCCUCAAAAAAAACAAGAAAAAAGAGAAACACAUUGAUCAGUUCUAAUCAAAAGUUUUAAGGGAUUAACUUGCUGCAAAAUGAGUCAGUGGGAUUAGCUAUCUCUCUAACAUUUCUGCUGAAUGUGGAAAGCCUUGGGCAAUCCAGCUACUCCCACCCUCCAUUCCUUUCAACUUGAGAAACUUCAGAAAACUGACACCAACGUGCAGUUCUUACCUCACCCAGGCCAUCGGGGACCUGACCAGGGGAGGGGCAUGGGGAAGGGCGCCCCCUUUAUUCCCCUGGUCCUUGAUGGGGUGUCAUGGCAAACAGUCUCCAGAGAAGUCACCCAGUUCCCUCUGGGACACACCUGGGGCUCACCUAGCACAGGAAACAGACCACAGAAUAAUGGAAACCUUCUAACCACACCCCAACUGUUAGUGAAACUGACCUGCUGGCAGUCCAUCCCCCUAAUCAUCUGUUCCUGGUUCACCACGGAAGAAAGCAAGACCCUGGGCAAAGGGACCACCAAUUCCAAGCGUCACAGGGCUCCGGGGAGGGAGGGGGGAAUCCCCAGCAUCAAUGAGUUUGACGUCUACAAAAGCCCAAGAUCUACCAAGUCAUUUUUAGAUCCUGUCUGAAUCCUGUUAGAACCAACACCCAAAACACCACCCUACCUUUGCAGAGAAUUUUAACUCUACAAGGAGCUUUCUCAAAAGGACACUGGACUUUUCCUAAGAGCUGACAAGAUGGCGGAAGCAGAGCAGAAACAGCGAACUUUCCACAAGUUUGCCUACCGUGGUGUGGACCUGGACCAGCAGCUGGACGAGUCCUACAAAGAGCUGAUACAGCACUACAGUGUGCAGUGGCGGGACAAACUGUGGCCUGAGGCUGAAGCCCCUGUGCAAGGCCAAGAAGGGGGCACCGCCCAGGGAGAAAGAAGCCAGUGGUAGUGAAGACACACACCUUCGGGAUGUGAUCAUCCUGCCCCUGAUGGUAGGCAGCAAGGUGGGCGUCUACAAUGGAAAGACCUUCAGCUAGGCAGAGAUCAAGCCACUACCUGGGCGAGUUCUCCAUUACCCACAAGCUGUUGAAGCAUGGCUGGUCUGGCAUCGGGGCCACUCAUUCUUUGCACUUUAUCUCCAAGUAGGCACCUGGCCAAUAAAGGUACCACUGUCCCCAAUUUUAAUUAGAAAAAAAUUUUUUGAACAACGACACUGGAAUGGACUAGAAGAACUGGCUGACAAUUCAGGACACCAAUAUUCUACUCCAUGCUGUUGCUCUUUAGUAUCUGGGAGACUCUAGCAAGUCAAUCCCUCCCACCACUCCCGAUUCCCACCCCAAGGCCUUAGUUUUUAGAGGAAACAUCUGUAAGCUGUGAGGGCUUCUAGCUGAAGUAACUUCUAAAGUCAGGUAUGUAAGACCAACGGCACACGAAAAAAGACAGUUUCCUCUUCCAGGACUGGCUCUUUCAAACUCGCAUCUGAAAGCCGGACAAACUGUUACUCAAGCUCGGAGAGGCCCAAUUUUAACAUAAACAUUAACAAUAAGCCAACAUUUGAGGGCAAGUCAACACAACGGGCUCUGAAGACCCUUAAAAAAUUCCACCUCUUGCUCUGGAAAAAUAUUCCCCAGAAACCCCAAUCCUCUGCAUCCUUACACAACUCUCAAGUAAAAGGACCCCCACCCUCUCGGUCUGGCUUGUUCUUUGGGAGGAGGAGCAGGCUGAAGGAAGUGUGCACUGGUGCCUGGGAAAGCACUGGGGCUGAAGCUUCCUGCAGGGAGUGAGAUGCAAAGCUAAGAACUACAGGGCCCAGGCUCGGGGAGGGGUUACUGGUCCUAUCUCCGUCGGUUUUUCUAAAAGAUAUGGGGACACAUCAUCAGAUAACCCAUCGAGGAGGCUGGGAGGAGGCACUGAUCUGGGGGGGGAUUUCCGGAUGCCUGCAGGGAACUCGGAGGUCAGGGCCGCUCGUCCAGCCUGGAUCCCCGCCCCCAGCCCCCCGGGCUCCACCGCCCCCCUCCAGCCCUCGGCUUCCUAAGGAGAGAGCGGAGACUGCGGCGUGGCGCGACGCGGUCUCGGUGGAGCCGCCUCGUCCCCGCCCCGCCACGCCCCGACUCACAUCGCCCCGAGGCCCGGGCGGCGCCGGGGGGCCCGCUCCGGGUCCCACUCCCGGGUCCCGCUGCAGCAACCACCGCCCGCCCGAAGCCGAGUCCUCCCCGCCCCGCCCCGCGGCCGUGGGGUCGGAGGUCACCGGCAGCACCAACGAGAUGCUGCGGGCCGGCAGACCCGAGAGGGGGCAGCCGGCGCGCUGCCUAGAAGGUCCCCUUGGAGGACUUUGCAGGCGGGAACGGGGAGCAUGCGCAGACGCCAGAGGGCGCUCCGGGCCAGCGGCUGGGAAUCCUGACGGGAGUGGGCGG
rnacentral:lncRNA from 1 species